UGCAAGUCGAACGAUGAAGCCCAGCUUGCUGGGUGGAUUAGUGGCGAACGGGUGAGUAACACGUGAGUAACCUGCCCUUAACUCUGGGAUAAGCCUGGGAAACUGGGUCUAAUACCGGAUAGGAGCGUCCACCGCAUGGUGGGUGUUGGAAAGAUUUAUCGGUUUUGGAUGGACUCGCGGCCUAUCAGCUUGUUGGUGAGGUAAUGGCUCACCAAGGCGACGACGGGUAGCCGGCCUGAGAGGGUGACCGGCCACACUGGGACUGAGACACGGCCCAGACUCCUACGGGAGGCAGCAGUGGGGAAUAUUGCACAAUGGGCGAAAGCCUGAUGCAGCGACGCCGCGUGAGGGAUGACGGCCUUCGGGUUGUAAACCUCUUUCAGUAGGGAAGAAGCGAAAGUGACGGUACCUCAGAAGAAGCACCGGCUAACUACGUGCCAGCAGCCGCGGUAAUACGUAGGGUGCGAGCGUUAUCCGGAAUUAUUGGGCGUAAAGAGCUCGUAGGCGGUUUGUCGCGUCUGUCGUGAAAGUCCGGGGCUUAACCCCGGAUCUGCGGUGGGUACGGGCAGACUAGAGUGCAGUAGGGGAGACUGGAAUUCCUGGUGUAGCGGUGGAAUGCGCAGAUAUCAGGAGGAACACCGAUGGCGAAGGCAGGUCUCUGGGCUGUAACUGACGCUGAGGAGCGAAAGCAUGGGGAGCGAACAGGAUUAGAUACCCUGGUAGUCCAUGCCGUAAACGUUGGGCACUAGGUGUGGGGACCAUUCCACGGUUUCCGCGCCGCAGCUAACGCAUUAAGUGCCCCGCCUGGGGAGUACGGCCGCAAGGCUAAAACUCAAAGGAAUUGACGGGGGCCCGCACAAGCGGCGGAGCAUGCGGAUUAAUUCGAUGCAACGCGAAGAACCUUACCAAGGCUUGACAUGUUCUCGAUCGCCGUAGAGAUACGGUUUCCCCUUUGGGGGGGUUCACAGGUGGUGCAUGGUUGUCGUCAGCUCGUGUCGUGAGAUGUUGGGUUAAGUCCCGCAACGAGCGCAACCCUCGUUCCAUGUUGCCAGCACGUCGUGGUGGGGACUCAUGGGAGACUGCCGGGGUCAACUCGGAGGAAGGUGAGGACGACGUCAAAUCAUCAUGCCCCUUAUGUCUUGGGCUUCACGCAUGCUACAAUGGCCGGUACAAUGGGUUGCGAUACUGUGAGGUGGAGCUAAUCCCAAAAAGCCGGUCUCAGUUCGGAUUGGGGUCUGCAACUCGACCCCAUGAAGUCGGAGUCGCUAGUAAUCGCAGAUCAGCAACGCUGCGGUGAAUACGUUCCCGUCCUUGUACACACCGCCCGUCAAGUCACGAAAGUUGGUAACACCCGAAGCCGGUGGCCUAACCCUUG
rnacentral:rRNA from 1 species